rnacentral:rRNA from 2 species
ANACNUGCAAGUCGAACGGGGAAAGCUUUCGGGUGAGUACUAGUGGCGCACGGGUGAGGAAUACAUGGGUAAUCUGCCCUCGAGUUGGGGAUAACUAGUCGAAAGAUUAGCUAAUACCGAAUAAGACCACAGGAUCUGCGGAUCUAGGGGUUAAAGGUUUUUCGCUUGAGGAUGAGCCCAUGUGGGAUUAGCUAGUUGGUGGGGUAAUGGCCUACCAAGGCGACGAUCCCUAACUGGUCUUAGAGGAUGAUCAGUCACACUGGAACUGAGACACGGUCCAGACUCCUACGGGAGGCAGCAGUAGGGAAUAUUGCACAAUGGGGGAAACCCUGAUGCAGCGACGCCGCGUGAGUGAUGAAGGCCUUCGGGUCGUAAAGCUCUGUCGUAUGGGACUAACACAAUGAAGGUNCCAUGCAAGAAAGGAUCGGCUAACUUCNUGCCNNCAG